GACGAACGCUGGCGGCGUGCUUAACACAUGCAAGUCGAACGGAGCGGCGAACGGGUGAGUAACGCGUGGGUAACUGCCCCCCUCUCUGGGAUAACAGUUGGAAACGGCUGCUAAUACAGGCUAGUGGUGGAUGACUCGGGUCCUAUCAGCUUGUUGGUGGGGUAGUGGCAUACCAAGGGGACGACGGGUAGCCGGCCUGGGAGGGCGACCGGCCACAGUGGGCUGAGAGACGGCCCAAACUCCUACGGGAGGCAGUAGUGGGGAAUAUUGCACAAUGGGGGAAACCCUGAUGCAGCAACGCGCGUGCGUGAUGACGGCCUGCGGGUUGUAAACAGCUUUCAGCCAUGACGCGGUAGUGGCCGAAGAAGCACCGGCUAACUACGUGCCAGCCGCCGCGGUAAUUC
rnacentral:rRNA from 1 species